UACAGAGGGGGCAAGCGUUAUUCGGAAUUAUUGGGCGUAAAGGGCGCGUAGGCGGCUUUGCAAGUGACGGGUGAAAUCCCUCGGCUUAACCGAGGAACUGCCUGUCAAACUGCAUGGCUUGAGACCGGGAGAGGUGAGUGGAAUUCCCAGUGUAGCGGUGAAAAUGCGUAGAUAUUGGGAGGAACAUCAGUGGCGAAGGCGGCUCACUGGACCGGUACUGACGCUGAUGCGCGAAAGCGUGGGGAGCAAACAGG
rnacentral:rRNA from 1 species